rnacentral:rRNA from 1 species
AUCAGAAGUGCGAAUGCUGACAUAAGUAACGAUAAUGCGGGUGAAAAGCCCGCACGCCGGAAGACCAAGGGUUCCUGUCCAACGUUAAUCGGGGCAGGGUGAGUCGACCCCUAAGGCGAGGCCGAAAGGCGUAGUCGAUGGGAAACAGGUUAAUAUUCCUGUACUUGGUGUUACUGCGAAGGGGGGACGGAGAAGGCUAUGUUAGCCGGGCGACGGUUGUCCCGGUUUAAGCAUGUAGGCGGAGGUUCCAGGUAAAUCCGGUACCUUAUUAACGCUGAGGUGUGAUGACGAGGCACUACGGUGCUGAAGUAACAAAUGCCCUGCUUCCAGGAAAAGCCUCUAAGCAUCAGGUAACAUCAAAUCGUACCCCAAACCGACACAGGUGGUCAGGUAGAGAAUACCAAGGCGCUUGAGAGAACUCGGGUGAAGGAACUAGGCAAAAUGGUGCCGUAACUUCGGGAGAAGG